rnacentral:lncRNA from 1 species
AGAUUCUUUAUCAACGCACCUUGGCUUUGCAAAUUCAGCUCUAUUUGAUUAAUUUUUUUCUCAUUUUCCUCGUUCUUUUUUUCAGAAGCUCUAAUAAGUUUUUCCAAGGCUUCUUCAAAACUUGAUUUCUGAUCUGGUUGUUGUGUCUGAUUUUGAAAUUUGGAUGUAUUUUGUUGUCUCGGUGCUUGAGUUUGAUUGUUACUCCAUAAAAAAUCCGUG